rnacentral:rRNA from 1 species
AUACGUAGGCAGCGAGCGUUGUUCGGAGUUACUGGGCGUAAAGCGUGCGUAGGCGGUUCCGCAAGUUCGGUGUGAAAUAUCCCGGCUCAACUGGGAGGGUGCGCCGAAAACUGCGGAGCUUGAGCGUGGGAGAGGGAAGCGGAAUUCCUGGUGUAGCGGUGAAAUGCGUAGAUAUCAGGAGGAACACCGGUGGUGUAGACGGCUUCCUGGACCACUGCUGACGCUGAGGCACGAAAGCGUGGGGAGCAAACAGGAUUAGAAACCCUAGUAGUCC